rnacentral:rRNA from 1 species
ACAAGCGGUGGAGCAUGUGGUUUAAUUCGAUGCAACGCGAAGAACCUUACCAUCCCUUGACAUCCACGGAAGACUCUAGAGAUAGGGUUGUGCCUUCGGGAACCGUGAGACAGGUGCUGCAUGGCUGUCGUCAGCUCGUGUUGUGAGAUGUUGGGUUAAGUCCCGCAACGAGCGCAACCCCUAUCCUUAGUUGCCAGCGGGUAAUGCCGGGAACUCUAGGGAGACUGCCGGUGAUAAACCGGAGGAAGGUGGGACGACGUCAAGUCAUCAUGGCCCUUACGGGAUGGGCUACACACGUGCUACAAUGGCGCAUACAAAGGGCAGCAAACCUGCGAGGGUAAGCGAAUCUCAUAAAGUGCGUCGUAGUCCGGAUUGGAGUCUGCAACUCGACUCCAUGAAGUCGGAAUCGCUAGUAAUCGUGAAUCAGAAUGUCACGGUGAAUACGUUCUCGGGCCUU